rnacentral:misc_RNA from 1 species
AGAUCAGGUUAAUGGAAGUGGACACUUUGUUGAGAUGGUUGGGCAGAGACACUCAAGAGAUUGGACCAAUUUGAGGAGGAUGAGGACCAAAAUGCCUUAUUUCACUUCUCUACUGACCAUGACAAGGAGGGGAAAAUUAAGUGUGCGGUCCAUCCAAUAUAACAACUUGAGAUUAAUGAGGAAGGCGUUCAAAGAUUGGAACAAAAUGUUGUGGAUGAAGACCAAAAUGACUUUUUGAAUCAUAAGGGAGAGGAACCACACCUCCUCUAUCAAAUUCAAAAUCUCUAUCGCUUCCUUGUUGCCUAUGCUAACCAAACUCAAAAUGACAACAGAGGGAUGCAAAUUCAAGCAUGAAUAAUUGCAAAUAUGGACAUCAAAUUUCAAUGAUAAGCAUUGAAAAUUUUGGUGCAAUCAUUCUGGGGAAAGAACUCAAACUUACACUUGGAUCUAGUGCAAAGAUUGGCUACACUUGAUAAGGUCUGUUUUGUUGGGACUGUUUAGGUUGACACAAUGGCUGGAUUUUAUGUUGUAAUUUUAGGGGUUUUUUCACCAGCGGUGUUGGUAUAGAAAUUGUUUACUAUAGGUUGGGCGUACGAGGCAUGUGUAAAAUUGAUAAAAUUAAAAGUAUUAGCUAAAAUUGAUAAUUUGAUAUUCUUUUCCCCCAAUUUUACAGCAGGCAUAGCAUAACUUCUCGUUUGGUAUACUGAAUCCAUAAUUUUACAUGGUUACAGGAAUCACAAGAAAGACGCAGAAGGCUAUAUUGUUUGAGAAGUUUCAUUCUGAAAAUCCAUUGCUUCUCAGUCUGUGCAGAACUCUCUUCCCUAACAACCAUAAGUCUGUCUGGUGUGGACCUCACUCACUGGUUCAGCGUGAAGUUUAUGCUCGUACAAGUUCUAUUCUUGCUGGUAUUGAAACUUUGAUGACGUAGGUACUUUUUGAGUACUUCACAUUGUCACUACAAAGGAUCUGAAGCAAUCUUAUGCUUUGCCUAGAUCAAAUAUAGUGUUACAAUGUGGAAUGUUUGACAUAAAUUCCUACAUACAAAUGGAAUGUCCGGUAGUUAGUGGUUCUUCUCAGCUGAGGAUGAUAAUUUGCUCUGGUAUAGCUAGGGUGGGAAUGACAUAACUCAAGAUCGAUAACAUGAUCUUGAUUUACAAUCCUGUGUCAGCAUUUGUAGUGAUCUAUUGGGGAUGAGGGAAAAUAGAUAUAUUGGUAUUUCUUAUUGCGAAAAUGAUUUAAUAUUGAGCAAAGAUUCUUGCAGAGUGCUAUUGCUGGAAACAAUAACUUGUGCAACUGUAAAUAAUUGAUCCUUCUUAUUUUCACACCUCUAUUUAAGGUGGAAGCCUAAGAAAUUCUGUUCAGGGAAGUAUUCC